rnacentral:rRNA from 1 species
CGGAACACGUACGCAACCUUCCUUUAACUGGAGGAUAGCCCCGAGAAAUCGGGAUUAAUACUCCGUAAUAUUAUGGUGUGGCAUCACAUUAUAAUUAUAGCUCCGGCGGUUAAAGAUGGGCGUGCGCCUGAUUAGAUAGUUGGCGGGGUAACGGCCCACCAAGUCUGCGAUCAGUAACUGGUGUGAGAGCACGACCAGUCACACGGGCACUGAGACACGGGCCCG